UAUCUUUGCAUGGCAAUUUUGCAUACAUAAAAAUCAUUUAAAUAAUAUUGGCAUG
rnacentral:ncRNA from 1 species